GUUCGUCAUUAGAAAAUAAUAUUAGGUUGGUGCAAAAGUAAUUGCAGUUUUUGCCAUUACUUUCAAUGGUAAAAGCCACAUUACUUUUGCACCAACUUAAUAUGAUAAAUUU
rnacentral:miRNA from 1 species